rnacentral:rRNA from 1 species
UACGUAGGUCCCGAGCGUUGUCCGGAUUUAUUGGGCGUAAAGCGAGCGCAGGUGGUUUAUUAAGUCUGGUGUAAAAGGCAGUGGCUCAACCAUUGUAUGCAUUGGAAACUGGUAGACUUGAGUGCAGGAGAGGAGAGUGGAAUUCCAUGUGUAGCGGUGAAAUGCGUAGAUAUAUGGAGGAACACCGGUGGCGAAAGCGGCUCUCUGGCCUGUAACUGACGCUGAGGCUCGAAAGCGUGGGGAGCGAACAGG